rnacentral:rRNA from 1 species
UACAGAGGUCUCAAGCGUUGUUCGGAUUCAUUGGGCGUAAAGGGUGCGUAGGCGGUGCGGUAAGUCGGGUGUGAAAUCUCGGAGCUUAACUCCGAAACUGCAUUCGAUACUGCCGUGCUUGAGGACUGGAGAGGAGACUGGAAUUUACGGUGUAGCGGUGAAAUGCGUAGAGAUCAUGAGGAAGACCAGUGGCGAAGGCGGGUCUCUGGACAGUUCCUGACGCUGAGGCACGAAGGUCAGGGGAGCAAACGGG